CAGUCGCCGCGGUAAUACGGAGGGGGCUAGCGUUGUUCGGAAUUACUGGGCGUAAAGCGCACGUAGGCGGCUUGGUAAGUUAGAGGUGAAAGCCCGGAGCUCAACUCCGGAAUUGCCUUUAAGACUGCCGAGCUAGCAGGUGAGAGAGGUAAGUGGAAUUCCGAGUGUAGAGGUGAAAUUCGUAGAUAUUCGGAAGAACACCAGUGGCGAAGGCGGCUUACUGGCUCAUACUGGACGCUGAGGUGCGAAAGCGUGGGGAGCAAACAGGAUUAGAUACCCCAGUAGUCCCUGUCUCUUAUAA
rnacentral:rRNA from 1 species